rnacentral:lncRNA from 1 species
UUACCCUCGCUAAAACCCUAAAGGGUUUUGCAGACUGCUUUCUCUCUCCUCCAAUUCUUCAUUGUCUCUCAAACGGUAACGCACCCACUUUCCUUUCAUCACCAAAUUAUAUCAACUCUUAAUUUGUUCCGAUUUUUGUUCUGUUCCUUGUUACUAUCUUGUCUUAAUAUUCUCAGGUUAGCUCUGUUUUCAAUUUAUGGGCAUAUGUAUCUACCGAAAGUGAUUGUAUAUGUAAUUUUUAGGUAUUGAUUUAUGCUGUCUAUAAUUUUUAUUUUUUAUUUUUUGGGUUCGAUUACUUGAUUAGAAUUGACAAUUAAGGGGUUUUUAAGAGGUAAUUUUUGUGAUGUAUGUGUUUCUUUUUUAGUGGGUAAUUUUUUAGGCUUUAUGGUCCAAUUUUUGUUCAUGGGAUUUGAUUAUGUAAUCUUGCAAAGGUGUUGUAUGCAAAAAUUUAAUUUUUGGAAUAUUUAUUAGAAAUUUAUAUAAUAAGAUUGGCGAUGAUUAGGCCCAUUUUACGGCUGUUGUUACUGUAUUGUAUCUCUAAAUUUAUGGGUGUUUGAUUUGUUGGAGGAAUACCUUGAAAUUAAGUCACUUAUAUGUAGGUGAAGUAGUAUAGAAUGGUUGACCUACAAAGUUCAACUCUUUUGAUGUGCAAAAAUUUGUACAUUGUAUUAAAUUUUAGAAUAGUUGAUAUCUUCAAACUUGAGCUGAUAUGAUAUUAUUGAUCAGCUUUGCUUUGAUUAUUUCUUGGAAUUUGCAAUACCCAUCAAGCAUACUUAUUGUUUGAAAUUUUAGUCCGAAGAAUUGCACUUGUUGGGGCUUCAUUGGAUGAUUAAUUUUCAAAGAUUAUGUUUAUUCAAAGGUUUUUAAUUUUUUAUCCUACCCUGUGUUGAGUGGGAACUUCUGUGUUGACCUAGUGUAUGUAUUCAAUGUUUCUAGAUAAGUCGAUAUUGGGCUAUUGAUGUAAACUCUCUUUAAAAGUUGAUGUUACAUGAUUUGAACUAUUGACUUGGGAAUUUAAAGACAUGAUGAAUGACUCUUCUACUCUAAUAAUGUUCUUUAUUGUGGUGUUGAUAUUGAUACACUAAGUUGAUGUCUUGAAUUGACCAAGUCUGCAAUUUCCUUCAUAUUAGGAUAUCUUUGUUUUUGUUUUUGUUUUUGUUUUUGUUUUGUUUGUUUAAUUAAAUCAGAAAAUAACAUCAGAUGUUAUGUUCAGUUAUCUGUUAUUGUUAUGUUCACUAGGACGACCCUGCUUUUGUCAGUUUGUAUUUUUUCAUUCAUGCCUUUUCUUCUUUUCGUCCUUUUGAAAUUUCGGAAUGUUUAAUGAUUGUAAG